GAAAUGCGAUAAUUUAUGUGAAUUGCAGAACCCUGUGAAUCAUCGAAUCCUUGAACGCAAAUUGCACUCUUGGGACCUCCUGAGAGUGUGCCUGUUUGAGUGUCGGUAAUUUUUCAAAAAACAAUCACAUUUAUUUGUGUAAAUGGUUAUUCGAAAAUAAAUUCUCUCUAUUUUCGAUAAACUAAAGUAAAUUAUGUUUGGUUAAUAAAAUAUGAAUAUAUUUUAUUUAAACCUCAGAAAGAAUUAAUAAUAAACUAACCCAAGUGGUUUCUAUUUUUUUCAAUAAAAAAAUAUGAAUUCCUUGGUUAAUUUAUUUUUCUUUUUUGAGGUAUAAAUAUAUAUAUAUUUUUUAUUAACUCUUUACCAAGAUAAUAUUCUGAUAUGGAUGGAAAUAUCAUCAUCUAUAUUAGAAAAUUAUUUUAAAAAACAAAAAUCUCGACCUCAAAUUAGGCAAGAUUACCCGCUGAAUUUAAGC
rnacentral:misc_RNA from 1 species